rnacentral:rRNA from 1 species
UAGAGUUUGAUCAUGGCUCAGGAUGAACGCUAGCGGCAGGCUUAACACAUGCAAGUCGAGGGGCAUCGGGAGGGAAGCUUGCUUUCCUUGCCGGCGACCGGCGCACGGGUGAGUAACACGUAUGCAACCUGCCCUCUUCAGGGGGACAACCUUCCGAAAGGGAGGCUAAUCCCGCGUAUAUCGGUUUCGGGCAUCCGGGAUCGAGGAAAGAUUCAUCGGAAGAGGAUGGGCAUGCGGCGCAUUAGCUGGACGGCGGGGUAACGGCCCACCGUGGCGACGAUGCGUAGGGGUUCUGAGAGGAAGGUCCCCCACACUGGUACUGAGACACGGACCAGACUCCUACGGGAGGCAGCAGUGAGGAAUAUUGGUCAAUGGGAGAGAUCCUGAACCAGCCAAGCCGCGUGAGGGAAGACGGCCCUAUGGGUUGUAAACCUCUUUUGUCGGAGAACAAAACCCGGGACGUGUCCCGGACUGCGUGUAUCCGAAGAAAAAGCAUCGGCUAACUCCGUGCCAGCAGCCGCGGUAAUACGGAGGAUGCGAGCGUUAUCCGGAUUUAUUGGGUUUAAAGGGUGCGUAGGCGGUCCGUUAAGUCAGCGGUAAAAUUGCGGGGCUCAACCCCGUCGAGCCGUUGAAACUGGCAGACUUGAGUUGGCGAGAAGUACGCGGAAUGCGCGGUGUAGCGGUGAAAUGCAUAGAUAUCGCGCAGAACUCCGAUUGCGAAGGCAGCGUACCGGCGCCAGACUGACGCUGAGGCACGAAAGCGUGGGGAUCGAACAGGAUUAGAUACCCUGGUAGUCCACGCAGUAAACGAUGAAUGCUAGGUGUCCGGGGCUUUGUGUCCUGGGUGCCACAGCGAAAGCGUUAAGCAUUCCACCUGGGGAGUACGCCGGCAACGGUGAAACUCAAAGGAAUUGACGGGGGCCCGCACAAGCGGAGGAACAUGUGGUUUAAUUCGAUGAUACGCGAGGAACCUUACCCGGGCUCAAACGCAGGGAGACUGCAAUCGAAAGGUUGCUUUCCACGGACUGCCUGCGAGGUGCUGCAUGGUUGUCGUCAGCUCGUGCCGUGAGGUGUCGGCUUAAGUGCCAUAACGAGCGCAACCCCUGCCGCCAGUUGCUAACGCGAAAGGCGAGGACUCUGGCGGGACUGCCGGCGCAAGCCGCGAGGAAGGCGGGGAUGACGUCAAAUCAGCACGGCCCUUACGUCCGGGGCGACACACGUGUUACAAUGGCAGGUACAGAGAGAAGCAAUGCGGCGACGCAAAGCGGAACUUGAAAGCCUGUCUCAGUUCGGAUUGGAGUCUGCAACUCGACUCCAUGAAGCUGGAUUCGCUAGUAAUCGCGCAUCAGCCAUGGCGCGGUGAAUACGUUCCCGGGCCUUGUACACACCGCCCGUCAAGCCAUGGAAGCCGGGAGUGCCUGAAGUGUGCAACCGCAAGGAGCGCCCUAAGGUAAAACUGGUGACUGGGGCUAAGUCGUAACAAGGUAACCGUAA